rnacentral:rRNA from 1 species
GAUGAACGCUGGCGGCGUGCCUAAUACAUGCAAGUCGAGCGAACAGAUGAGGAGCUUGCUCCUCUGACGUUAGCGGCGGACGGGUGAGUAACACGUGGAUAACCUACCUAUAAGACUGGGAUAACUUCGGGAAACCGGAGCUAAUACCGGAUAAUAUAUUGAACCGCAUGGUUCAAUAGUGAAAGACGGUUUUGCUGUCACUUAUAGAUGGAUCCGCGCCGCAUUAGCUGGUUGGUAAGGUAACGGCUUACCAAGGCAACGAUGCGUAGCCGACCUGAGAGGGUGAUCGGCCACACUGGAGCGGGAACACGGUCCAGACGCCUACGGGAGGCAGCAGUAGGGAAUGUGCCGCAGUGGGCGAAAGCCUGACGGAGCAACGCCGCGUGAGUGAUGAAGGUCUUCGGAUCGUAAAACUCUGUUAUUAGGGAAGAACAAAUGUGUAAGUAACUAUGCACGUCUUGACGGUACCGAAUCAGAAAGCCACGGCUAACUACGU